CAUAAGAGACCGCUCCCGGUCUUGCAACCUUGCCCAUCGUACCCUUGUGUUGUUCCCUCGGCACGGCGUGCAGCCUGCCGGUGGGAAGCUCGACAAAACCUUGCAACAUGGCAUACAAAAAACUUCUGAUCAUAAACCUAAAUCAUCA
rnacentral:misc_RNA from 1 species